rnacentral:rRNA from 1 species
GACGAACGCUGGCGGCGUGCCUAAUACAUGCAAGUAGAACGCUGAAGCGAGGAGCUUGCUCUUCUUGGAUGAGUUGCGAACGGGUGAGUAACGCGUAGGUAACCUGCCUUGUAGCGGGGGAUAACUAUUGGAAACGAUAGCUAAUACCGCAUAACAAUGGAUGACGCAUGUCAUUUAUUUGAAAGGGGCAAUUGCUCCACUACAAGAUGGACCUGCGUUGUAUUAGCUAGUAGGUGAGGUAAUGGCUCACCUAGGCGACGAUACAUAGCCGACCUGAGAGGGUGAUCGGCCACACUGGGACGGAGACACGGCCCAGACUCCUACGGGAGGCAGCAGUAGGGAAUCUUCGGCAAUGGGGGCAACCCUGACCGAGCAACGCCGCGUGAGUGAAGAAGGUUUUCGGAUCGUAAAGCUCUGUUGUAAGUCAAGAACGGGUGUGAGAGUGGAAAGUUCACACUGUGACGGUAGCUUACCAGAAAGGGACGGCUAACUACGUG